rnacentral:rRNA from 1 species
GACGAACGCUGGCGGCGUGCCUAAUACAUGCAAGUAGAACGCUGAAGGAGGAGCUUGCUCUUCUGGAUGAGUUGCGAACGGGUGAGUAACGCGUAGGUAACCUGCCUGGUAGCGGGGGAUAACUAUUGGAAACGAUAGCUAAUACCGCAUAACAGUAGAUGUUGCAUGACAUUUACUUAAAAGGUGCAAUUGCAUCACUACCAGAUGGACCUGCGUUGUAUUAGCUAGUUGGUGGGGUAACGGCUCACCAAGGCGACGAUACAUAGCCGACCUGAGAGGGGGAUCGGCCACACUGGGACUGAGACACGGCCCAGACUCCUACGGGAGGCAGCAGUAGGGAAUCUUCGGCAAUGGACGGAAGUCUGACCGAGCAACGCCGCGUGAGUGAAGAAGGUUUUCGGAUCGUAAAGCUCUGCUGUAAGAGAAGAACGAGUGUGAGAGUGGAAAGUUCACACUGUGACGGUAUCUUACCAGAAAGGGACGGCUAACUACGUG